UUUCAACUGACGAGUCUCAUAUAGGAUAAAACGCGCGUCCUGAAU
rnacentral:hammerhead_ribozyme from 1 species